CUCUUAUUUCUUUAAUUAAUUGUACAAAUAUUUGAGUGUGAAAAUGCAUCUUUUGUUUCUUAAAUCCCUUAUUUAAUUCCACAUUUUUUUCUUUAGAGCCAGAUCUCACACUAAAACUCUAGUACUAUUUUCCUCUGAAUUAUGAUGGAGGAAAAUAACUCAGCAACUGAUUCCAAUUUGAGCGUUCCUAUCAUAGACCUCAUACACAACAAUAUCAAUCGUGUAGAGGUAAUUAACCAAAUUAAAGAUGCAUGCAAAAAAGUGGAGAUUUUUCCAAGUGAGAUUAAUCUUGAAAUUUCUGUUGAUGUCUUGGAUGAGAUGAUUGAUGGAACAUGUAGAUUUCAUGAACAAGAUAUUGAGUUUAAAUCUGGUUUGGAGUCAGUUCCGGUAUCAAGUGGUUCCAGUCCCCUACUAUCGCAGUUGCGGGGGAUCGAACUGUGGUCCUCCCACAUCUUGUUAUGUUUGCUCGAUCAUUUUAUUAAAUUUGUUUAAAAUAAUUUUACACCGACCAUAUUAAUAAAUUAAAUUUUUAUACUCUCUCCGAACACAAAUAUAAGCAAAAGUGCAUUUUUUAGAUUCAUGGAAUAAUGGAUGUAAAGUGCAUUUUUUCUUAUAUUUGUGUCCGGAGAGAGUAUGAAAUAUGCAUUUAAGCAGUUAUACCAGAUUUUUAGUCAAAAAAUAAAAAGUUAUAGCAGAUUUAAGAAAAAAAUAAAGAGUCAUACUUAAAAAUUAAUUAGCCUAUGACAAAUCUAGAUCUUAAGAAUUUUUAUCAAGUCAAAUUUAGACCUUUCUUUCUAGCUAUUCAUACCCCCCUAUUUUUCAUUCAUGCAAACCAUGUGGUAAACAAGUUAAAUUUGCUUUGUCUUUAUGUAAUAUUUUUCUCACUUUGUAUGUUAAAUUUCUUCUUUCUUUUUGUUCUUGACGGUUUCGUUUCCAUAGUGAGGCUUCAUCCAUAUUUUUUUUUAUUCAAUUAAAAAGUCUCACACAAUCCAUUAAAAUCCAUUCAAAGAAAGAAUCCAUUCAAAUCUAUAUAUUUUUGAAUACUACAAGACAUUUUAUAAAUCAUGAGAAAUCUUAAUUGAAUACCAACAGAUUUCGUUGGAUUGAAAAAAAAAUCUUGAUUGUCUUAAUUGAAUACCACGAGAUUUAUUUACAUUUUAUAAAAGUCUUGAUUGAAUACCUCAAGACAUUUUUAUUAUAAAAAAGUCUUUUAAAAUCCAUUGAAAUCUCAAUUCAAUACACCCAAAUAACAAUCAAUAAAAAUUAUUCAAUAUUAAUAGUUUUACACUAUUUAUUUUUUUAGGCAAAAGUUUUACACUAUAAGAAACCAUAAAAUAUCAUAAAUAUGGAAACUUGGUCAUAUGAUAUCAAAAUUAUAUUUUGUUUAUGCUGUUGUUAUUUUGGUGGGAAGACUUUGGUUGCCAACCAUGGUUUUCAUGGCUGUGAGUAGUUUAAUUUCAUUUCUUGUUAUGGUUAUCUUCUUUGAAAAAUGAUUAAUUGAUUUUUAUGGUUACGGUUUUGGGAUUAAGUCUUAAUUGAUUUUUAGGGUUAGGGUUUUGGGAUUAAUUUCUAUAUUCUUUAUUGUAGAGAUUGUAGAUAUUGUAGAUGAUGGUUACUACUAUUGCGUUGUUAUGUCUGGCCAACGCACGGCAUAACCCUGUUUUAUAAACAGGGCUAUGUAACAUCUUGUUAUGUUUGGUCGAGCAUUUUAUUAAAUUAACAAGACAGGGUCUGUAAUCAUGUUGUGAAUUCAAUGUCAAAAUAUAUAUAGCUUAGAAA